rnacentral:rRNA from 1 species
AGUGAACGCUGGCGGCGUGCUUAACACAUGCAAGUCGAACGAGAACGGAUUAUAGCUUGCUAUAAUUGUCAGCUAAGUGGCGCACGGGUGAGUAAUGUAUAGGUAAUAUGCCUCUUACUAAGGGAUAACAAAUGUAAACGUUUGCUAAUACCUUAUACUCCUUAUUAACAGAAGUUAAUAAGGGAAAGAUUUAUUGGUAAGAGAUUAGCCUGUAUUGUAUCAGUUAGUUGGUGGGGUAAUGGCUUACCAAGACUAUGACACAUAACUGGUUUGUGAGGAGGAUCAGUCGCAAGGGAACUGACACACGGUCCAGACUCCUACGGGAGGCAGCAGUUGGGAAUAUUGCACAAUGGACGGAAGUCUGAUGCAGCAGCGCCGCGUGGAGGAUGACACAUUUCGGUGCGUAAACUCCUGUUAUAUGAGAAGAUAAUGACGGUAUUAUAUGAAUAAGCACCGGCUAACUCCGUGCCAGCCGCCGCCGUAA